rnacentral:rRNA from 1 species
UACGGGGGGGGCAAGCGUUGUUCGGAAUUACUGGGCGUAAAGGGCUCGUAGGCGGCCAACUAAGUCAUACGUGAAAUCCCUCAGCUUAACUGGGGAACUGCGUGUGAUACUGGAUGGCUUGGAUUUGGGAGAGGGAUGCGGAAUUCCAGGUGUAGCGGUGAAAUGCGUAGAUAUCUGGAGGAACACCGGUGGCGAAGGCGGCAUCCUGGACCAUUACUGACACUGAAAAGCGAAAGCCAGGGGAGCAAACGGG